rnacentral:rRNA from 1 species
CCUACGGGAGGCAGCAGUAGGGAAUCUUCCACAAUGGGCGAAAGCCUGAUGGAGCAACGCCGCGUGGGUGAAGAAGGUCUUCGGAUCGUAAAACCCUGUUGUUAGAGAAGCAAGUGCGUGAGAGUAACUGUUCACGUUUCGACGGUAUCUAACCAGAAAGCCACGGCUAACUACGUGACAGCAGCCGCGGGAAUACGUAGGUGGCAAGCGUUAUCCGGAUUUAUUGGGCGUAAAGGGAACGCAGGCGGUCUUUUAAGUCUGAUGUGAAAGCCUUCGGCUUAACCGGAGUAGUGCAUUGGAAACUGGGAGACUUGAGUGCAGAGGAGGCAAGUGGAACUCCAUGUGUAGCGGUGAAAUGCGUAGAUAUAUGGAAGAACACCAGUGGCGAAAGCGGCUCUCUGGUCUGUAACUGACGCUGAGGUUCGAAAGCGUGGGUAGCAAACAGGAUUAGAUACCCCUGUAGUC